UACGUAGGUGGCAAGCGUUGUUCGGAAUUAUUGGGCGUAAAGGGCGCGUAGGCGGCUUGUUAAGUCGGUUGUGAAAGCCCGGGGCUCAACCCCGGAGAGUCGACCGAUACUGGCGAGCUAGAGUACGGAAGAGGUAGCUGGAAUUCCCGGUGUAGCGGUGAAAUGCGUAGAGAUGUGGCGGAACACCGAUGGCGAAGGCAGCCCCCUGGGCUGAGAUUGACGCUCAGGCACGAAAGCGUGGGGAGCAAACAGG
rnacentral:rRNA from 1 species